GGGCCCGUAGCUCAGUCGGUAGAGCGUCGCCUUUGCAAGGCGAAGGCUCCGGGUUCAAGUCCCGGCGGGUCCA
rfam:Candidate divison MSBL1 archaeon SCGC-AAA382K21 AAA382K21_Contig_3_C, whole genome shotgun sequence.